rnacentral:rRNA from 1 species
GACGAACGCUGGCGGCGUGCUUAACACAUGCAAGUCGAGCGGUAAGGCCCUUUCGGGGUACGACGAGCGGCGAACGGGUGAGUAACACGUGGGUGACCUCGCCCUCCAGCUCUGGGAUAAGCCUGGGAAACCGGGUCUAAUACUGGAUAUGACUCCAUGACGCAUGUUGUGGGGUGGAAAGCCUUGUGCGGCUGAGGAUGGGCCCGCGGCCUAUCAGCUUGUUGGUGGGGUGANGGCCUACCAAGGCGACGACGGGUAGCCGGCCUGAGAGGGCGACCGGCCACACUGGGACUGAGACACGGCCCAGACUCCUACGGGAGGCAGCAGUGGGGAAUCUUGCGCAAUGGGCGAAAGCCUGACGCAGCGACGCCGCGUGAGGGAUGACGGCCU